rnacentral:rRNA from 1 species
CCCAGACUCCUACGGGAGGCAGCAGUGGGGAAUAUUGCACAAUGGGGGAAACCCUGAUGCAGCGACGCCGCGUGAGUGAAGAAGUAUUUCGGUAUGUAAAGCUCUAUCAGCAGGGAAGAUAAUGACGGUACCUGACUAAGAAGCCCCGGCUAACUACGUGCCAGCAGCCGCGGUAAUACGUAGGGGGCAAGCGUUAUCCGGAUUUACUGGGUGUAAAGGGUGCGCAGGUGGCAGGGCAAGUCAGAUGUGAAAGCCCGGGGCUCAACCCCGGUAUUGCAUUUGAAACUGUCCGGCUAGAGUGCAGGAGAGGUAAGCGGAAUUCCUAGUGUAGCGGUGAAAUGCGUAGAUAUUAGGAGGAACACCAGUGGCGAAGGCGGCUUACUGGACUGUAACUGACACUGAGGCACGAAAGCGUGGGGAGCAAACAGGAUUAGAUACCCUUGUA